UACGGAGGGUGCGAGCGUUGUCCGGAAUCACUGGGCGUAAAGGGCGCGUAGGCGGUCCGGUAAGCGCGUGGUGAAAGCCCGGGGCUCAACCCCGGGUCGGCCGUGCGGACUGCGGGACUGGAGCACUGUAGAGGCAGGCGGAAUUCCGGGUGUAGCGGUGGAAUGCGUAGAGAUCCGGAAGAACACCGGUGGCGAAGGCGGCCUGCUGGGCAGUAGCUGACGCUGAGGCGCGACAGCGUGGGGAGCGAUCCGG
rnacentral:rRNA from 1 species